UACAGAGGGUGCGAGCGUUAAUCGGAAUUACUGGGCGUAAAGCGCACGUAGUCGGCUUUGCAAGUCGGUUGUGAAAUCCCCGGGCUCAACCUCGAGAUGUCGGCGGAAACCGUCUGGCUAGAGUCCGGAAGAGGAGAGUGGAAUUCCUGGUGUAGCGGUGAAAUGCGCAGAUAUCAGGAAGAACACCGAGGGCGAAGGCAGCUCUCUGGGACGGUGCUGACGCUGAGACGCGAAAGCGUGGGGAGCGAACAGG
rnacentral:rRNA from 1 species